AUUGAACGCUGGCGGCAUGCUUUACACAUGCAAGUCGAACGGUAACAGGUCUUCGGAUGCUGACGAGUGGCGAACGGGUGAGUAAUGUAUCGGAACGUGCCCAGUAGUGGGGGAUAACUACUCGAAAGAGUGGCUAAUACCGCAUGAGAACUGAGGUUGAAAGCGGGGGACCUUCGGGCCUCGCGCUACUGGAGCGGCCGAUAUCAGAUUAGGUAGUUGGUGGGGUAAAGGCCUACCAAGCCGACGAUCUGUAGCUGGUCUGAGAGGACGACCAGCCACACUGGGACUGAGACACGGCCCAGACUCCUACGGGAGGCAGCAGUGGGGAAUUUUGGACAAUGGACGCAAGUCUGAUCCAGCAAUGCCGCGUGCAGGACGAAGGGCCUUCGGGUUGUAACGUAGCUUUUGUUACUAGAACGAAAGGAC
rnacentral:rRNA from 1 species